rnacentral:rRNA from 1 species
ACCGGCGCACGGGUGCGUAACGCGUAUGCAAUCUACCUUUUACAGAGGGAUAGCCCAGAGAAAUUUGGAUUAAUACCUCAUAGUAUAUAGCCCUGGCAUCAGGAUUAUAUNNNAGUCACAACGGUAAAAGAUGAGCAUGCGUCCCAUUAGCUAGUUGGUAAGGUAACGGCUUACCAAGGCUACGAUGGGUAGGGGUCCUGAGAGGGAGAUCCCCCACACUGGUACUGAGACACGGACCAGACUCCUACGGGAGGCAGCAGUGAGGAAUAUUGGACAAUGGGCGCAAGCCUGAUCCAGCCAUGCCGCGUGCAGGAUGACGGUCCUAUGGAUUGUAAACUGCUUUUAUACGAGAAGAAACACUCCUUCGUGAAGGAGCUUGACGGUAUCGUAAGAAUAAGGAUCGGCUAACUCCGUGCCAGCAGCCGCGGUAAUACGGAGGAUCCAAGCGUUAUCCGGAAUCAUUGGGUUUAAAGGGUCCGUAGGCGGUUUAAUAAGUCAGUGGUGAAAGCCCAUCGCUCAACGGUGGAACGGCCAUUGAUACUGUUAGACUUGAAUUAUUAGGAAGUAACUAGAAUAUGUAGUGUAGCGGUGAAAUGCUUAGAGAUUACAUGGAAUACCAAUUGCGAAGGCAGGUUACUACUAAUUGAUUGACGCUGAUGG